rnacentral:snRNA from 14 species
AGAUGCAGAUGCAGCAGCAGCAGGGCCCGCAGCGAAGCACUUCGACGGUGUCGGAGGAGGAAGUCGGCUUGUCGGUGUCCGUGCACA